UCCUGCCCCGGGUGGGGGGGGGUUGGAGGGGGGCCGUUCCUUCCAGCCCUCCUCCUUGCCUGCGCCUGCCCGCUGCGGCCUGUCUUGCCUGUGUCGCCGCUGGGAGGGCGGCUUGGCCGAGGCGAGGCACAGUGGGGCUUGUGGUGGAGGCGAGACGGCGGGGACGUGAGGCGUCCCCAUGUGAGGGCCGAGGGCCCCGCAGCAUGGCGCAAACGGCGCCCUUGGGGUGAGGGGAAAAGGCCGCGUUGUGCUGUUUUUGCCUUGUCCGGCGGCAGUGAUGAGGUUGACAACCAUCUUGAGCACUGGUUUUGUUGGGAUGAGAAAGAUGUGAUUCCUCGUCGAUGCAGCUAUGCUGGCAGAAAUCUGUAACGAGGUGUAGUCCAGAUAAGGUCUUUGGAAGACAUUAAAACCUGAGUUUUAUAUGUUUUACAGAACUUUGAAAACAUGCCUUUUUUUGCCUUCCAGCCUGAUUUUUCACUACCUUACAUUUUGGGAGUCAUUGACCCUUUUCCAAGUGACUGUAGACUCCUAUGAAACCUGAACUGAGUUAGAAAAGUAAUUAAUUUUGGUUUUUUUGAGUGAUUAAGAAUAGAUAGGUUUAAAAGGCAUACGAGGAGACUUUCACUUUGUACCAGCAUAAUAAAAGUGCACUACAGUCACUUCCAAACAAAGCAUGAGAAAGUGGAAAAAAGAGAGUCCUGUUGAUAAAAGUGUAGCAGACUUAGCCUUGUAUUACUUUGCCAACACACCUGUUAAUAAACUCUAUUGUUACAGGCAUGUCCGCUGUUAUCUCACUAUAGUUUUUACAUUGCUUUUGUACAGGACAUGCUUUGGCAGACAGAUGAAAUACCUGAGAUUAGAUUAAAUGGAAUCUCUGCUCACAUAAUGAACACUGAUACAACUGAUCUCAGCAGUUUAGUACUUCUAAGGUAGCCAGUAUGGGAAGGAAACAUUUGCAGGACCAGAUGGUGCAGGGCUACCAUACUGCAGAGUAUUUGCAGGAGAAUGGAGAAAAUUAAAUUAAUAGUGUUGUUGUGUUUUUUAUUUUCUCCAAAAUACCCUCUAGUGAUGUUUGAACUUUAGUAGGCUUAUAGUAAACUUAGCUCAUUUUGUUAAAAAUAAUUUUGCCUUUCAUAAAAGUUUAUCUCACUAUAAAUUAAGCCUUCCUAGUUAAUUUUGGUUUGUGUGUUUAUUUCUUUGCCAACCUAAUCACAUUCUUUCCACACAAAAUGAAGGAAAAAGUUUUGUUAAUUUCAACAUACUUUUGUUUUAAGUAUAUAGCCGUGAAAACUUUUACUUAUAUUAAAACCGAGGAUAAAAAUGUUGUGUUUAUUUCCAGCGAAGCAGCAGUAUCUCCUUACUCUCACCUAGUAAGGUAGUGUUUCAUAAAGAUUUGUAUGUGAUGAUUUCUGAAAUUGUUAACUAGUUAAAAUGCAAAGAAACUAUUAUUUGUAUAGCUUGGUUCUACAAAUUAUUUUUUUUCCCUUGUGUUAAAAAUGGGGAUACAUACCUCAUUUGAGUGCACACAACCCCUACUUUUUAAAGUAAAAUGCUUCAAAGUAAUGCGAGUAAACUCUAAAAUUGUCUAUAAAAAUAAAUUCAUUAGAUAUUUUAAAAUACCUUGAAGGGCCAAAAAAGCGUUCCAGAAAUCAGUGAUUACAUGGCAAACAUGCCACAAAGGGGAACUGUUAACAAGUGUGCCUUUGCCAAUAGUAGGAAGAUUGCCAACAUCUAAUUGGCUUUAAAGUUUUGUUCUGUCAAUGGUGUAUUGUAUUUUAAAAGCAGUAAUGCCAACCUUAUGAUUUAGGUGUGAAAUGGGACCUCAGAAUAUAUGACUGAUUAUGGCAGGAAGGAACUAUUUUCUUAAGGAAGACUUGCUAGCCUACUUGUUGCUGUAGUGUAAGUAAAGAGUUUAUUUUGUACAAUACAGCAAAGAGAACAGCAUAAAAAUUAUAUAUGAGAACGACAAGUAGUAAGCAUAUAACUGGUACAUAUCUGUUCUCAUUGGGAGAUCUUGUAGUGUUUUAUAAAAAAAAGAAUAUAGAUGUCGUUAUAAGAACCGAUCUUUUAGCUGCCAAACCCAUUUAAGUCAUUGUUGCCCUGGAAACCUAUGUAUUCCUGGAGGCCCCCCCCCAGUCAGUCCAGCCAGUUCAAUUGCUUUUUGACAGUUUUCUAUACUGGACCUGUGAAAUGAGCAGGUUUUAAAAAAAAAUCCCCACUCCUUUUGCCCCAGCUGCUCAUCCCACUCUUGCGUUACAAUUUACGGCCUCUCAGGUAUGCUGAUAUGGCUCUUAUUAAUGCACAUCUUUUCACUCAUCUGUUUUACUGCCUUCCCCAGCAAAUGCUUGCACUGGCGCACUGGUCCUCACUCUGUAGGGACUAAAUGGGCUGAGCUGGAAUGAAUGAGCGGGACAGAAGGCUCUUAAAUCAGCUCCUAAACUACUGGAUAUUGGUAACGUAAAACCAAAUUCUUGGUGAUGGGAAGACUAAUGAGGCUCCCUGUGUCACAUAACACAUCGGUGACAGGAAAGGGAAAGAAAACGCAACUUUCUUGACUGCCAUUAUCAUAUAACUAUAUCAAACCGUGACCACUAUUACCACGUUCAUUAAGCCACGCUGCCUGGCUAUUAUUAACACAUAGUUACCGUAUCAUCUUGCUUUGUAGACAGACUGCUGCUUGCUCAUUUCUGUAGGAUCUGAGAAACAUGGAAACAAAGAUACAGUACCUUCAUGCUGCAGGGAUACAGGGUCCUGUAUCCCAGCUUGUUAGAUCAUCAAAAACUUGUGUAUAUUUACUUACAUCAUACCCAAAGAAUGUGAUGUAACCUUGUAAAUUUUGUAAACCUUCGUGUUUAAGUGACUGAGAUUUAUUUUCUUACGCUGUAAGAAAUAUCUGUAGACCUCAGGUGUGCUCCAUAAUACAUGUGACAUAGUAACAUGGAUGUUAAAACAUGAGAACUUGCCAGAACACUCGUAAUACAAAAAGCAGCUGCUACUGAGGUACCGUAGGUAAGUAGUUUUCUACCUGUUGGUAUAUUGUGUUCAACAAGUUCCAGGACAUGUAAAGAAACAUAAACACGAGAAUAAACAGAAAAUAAUCUAAAGAAGGCUAUUCUUUUUAUUCUUAGUGCUGAAAAUGUGGACAUCUUAGUUUGCUUUGAAGAUCUCAUAUAAAAAGACAAAACAGAGAAUAUUUUCAUCAAUUUGCAUUUUCUCAGAUUUAAGGAUUUUUCUCCCUUAAAAAGGAACCUCUGAAAGCAAAGGGAACUAUAAGCACUGUGUCAUAUUAUGGGAGAUUUUCUUUUCAGGACAUGGAAUUCUAUAGCCUGAGUUGAUAACUCAGCACAAUUUCCACUGAAUUUAGCAAGAAUUACAGGAAUACAACACCUAUAAAAUGGGACCCUCAUCGCAGAGUGAUAUUUAAAUUCGACAUUAACACUACCUAGUGCAGCCAAAGGAAACUUCAAUGGAUGCAACAGCCCAUUUGAGACUUGAUUCAAAAUGAACUGGCAGCCAAGCCUACAGUGUUUUAUUCCUCCUUCUAACCUUUCAUCUUGCAUUUGUUGCAUUUACCUCUCUGCAUUGGAGAGCUUUCAUAAUGUUUGUAAAACGCAAUAAAAGUAUGCUGAAGCUGCUCAGGAAUCCUUGGGCUGCAAAUAGUUGGAGCUGGGAGGGCAUUCCAGAGAAAUAUCCCUGCAUACUUCCUCUCUGACUGAUCACUGCUGGAGACAGACUACUAGGCUAGAGGGACCUUGAGUCCAACACAAUAUGACCUUCUUCAUGCUUGUAAAUAUUCGAGUUGGGAUUCUCAGGGCAGCAUUCAUUUCUUAGCUGUGUGCACUUCACUAGAUAACUAACUGGAAUGUAUCAGCAGGAAUGCAAGGGGUUAUUUUUGCCUACAGAAGAAAAAACCUUGUGUAAUCUGAACUGCUUUAUUUCUUGCUGAAUUAUAUAUUUUGCAGCAGCAUGUAGUUUAGUAAUCAACCAUGAACUGAAUAUGUGUGAUACUCUGAAUAUUGCAUAUGCUUAAGGGGAAGCAAAUUCCAGGCUUCUGUGGCAAUGUCGUCCCCUGGGAGAACACAGAAACUUUGUUUUGGUAUGAACACUUUCUGUUUUGUCAGAAGCGUUUGUACUGUAGUUUGGAAAGCAAUCAUAUCUACUGGGACAUCAGGUUACCGCAGGGUACCAGUGCAUACGUAUUUGUAAUAAUUGAUACCAAUUUCAGUUAAGCACUAGAGUUUUUGCCCUCUUUUUAGCCCUGACAAGGCUCAUUAAGAUGUUUAGGCUAGACUCUGCUGACUGGGUUUCUUGGAAGAGCUGAAACGAUUCAAGUACCUAUUUCCCAUCAUCUCCUUCAAGUUCUCUUCAAAAUCCCACCCAAGUAAAAUGCAAUAGAGAUGCUUUCUCUAGAUUAAUUUAAUUGGAAAAUGCUGUGGAGAACAAGUCCUUUUAAUCACAGCAUUUUGCUAAAUCGAAUGUGUUGCAGUUCUGGUUACGAGCAAAUUCAGUCAUUACUAUCUUACAAGUAAGUAGGAUGUUGUAUGUGGGUGACUGCAUAUAGGUUGUAUCGUGAAUGUUAUGGAGCUGUUCCUUUUGGAGAAUUGGCACAAAAAAAAUUCACAGUGUAAGGACCUCUAUAGCAUCCCAUAGCAAUUUGAGAUUGGUUUAAUUUUUGUGUUUUAACUGAAGAUAUGUUUAAAUGAAUUUAGAAUCUGUCUAUGUUUGUGUACAAUACCUUAUUUUCACAUCCUUAUUUCACAUGACAUAGAAUGCAAAGAGGAGGAUGACUUUUGUUCAGAUUUAGAUGAACACCUUUUGCAAAAGCAGCUGAAGAACGAAACAAAUUCCAAAAGAAAUAUUGCUACAUAGGAUAGAUAUUUGGUAUCAGUCACCGUCAUUUUAUUUUGACUUCUACUUGCGAUGCACUACAUAUAGAACAUACCAAUUGGUGUGGGAAUUGCACAACACAGUCACUUAAUGCCCUUCUGCCAGUUAUGGGGUACUGACAUAGGAAAAGAAAAUGAACAUGGUAGGGCAACAUGAAAAAGCUACAUGCUAAGUUGAUCUCAAACCUAAGGGGCCUGAGUAAGGAUGAGGUAAUUGUUGCCCAAGAAAAGAUGCAUGCAUAUAAAACACAGAAAAAAUAGUUACAUUUUUCCCAAUCAACAUACGUGAAUCGGUCAAAAAACAUCAAUCUCACAUUACUCUGAUAAAAUCCUGGACUAACCUUCUUAUGACAUAGAAAGAGGAAUCCUGACACUAUCAGUCCUUGGGUUUUCCUGCACAAAAGUGUAAAGCACGUUACAUGAAGAAACAUUUUCUUCGUAUGGCAUGCUCCUGAGCUAAGUCUGGGCUUUGCCAAAAUGGGAGGUGAUCUUGCUCCUAUUGACAGUCUUAGGAUUUUCUCCUGAUUUUAGAGGAAGCAACAUAAGGUCCCCACUGGAAUAAGGUGUAUUAGGGGAUAUUCCACAUCUCUGGCUUGCUAGAAGAAUUAGUACCCAUGAACAUAAUCUACUACAGAUCAAGAGAGCAAUUAAUUAACUUUUGACAAUGAGAUACUGUUACUUAAGUAAUAUAAUUCAACACAAAAGAACCCGCUUUUAUUUUCUGUACUUGGUCACAAAAUUUAGACUAAUUUUUUUGUUCUGAGUGUGCAAUUGUUAAUAAAUUUAAUUCAUCUGGAAUUUUAGCUAUAGAGAGGAUAUAGGAAACAUCAACUUUAUGCGCAAAAGGACAGAGAAGACUUUUACAAGAAGAGCACACAAAUCAAUGUGGCUCAACGUAUCACCUCUAUUCCACACAAAGACAAAACUACUGCCAUUACUGGGGUCCUGUAUUGCCUACGUUGCCUGCAUUGCUUAGACUGUCUUGUCCAUUGAAAGAUUUUUGAAGGAAUUUGUAAUAAACAGAUUUGGAAUAUAUGCUGACAUGAGGCAGUUAGUUGCAGAAUCUUUAUUUUAACUAAUCUCCAUUCUGCCCUAUUGAAAAUGUAAGUUGACUACACUUUAUGAAACAUUUAAGAGUUCUAAAUACAAACCACACAUUUAGUUUAAGACUACCACUAUAAUUUCACCAUGUAGCACACACACCUAUGGAAUAGCUUGUUUAUUAUUGAUUUUGUUUUAAAUCUCUGUUAUAUAUUCAUGCAUUUCCCUAAUGCAGACUAUUUUUAUAGGUUACUUUUAAGUAACAGCACUUAAGUAAUAGUCAGCUGCAGUGAAAAAUUGCAGAAGAAACUAUCAGGUAACAAUACUUUUUAAAAGGAGUAUGCUGCUUGUUCAUAAAAAAUGGUCCAUGCUUCAUCUGUGCUGUGGUAUGAAUUCCAGCAGAGCAGAGUCAUUAGGGUGUUGGUCACCAAAACAAUAGGAUAAUUUGGUAAAGGUCAGCAUUAUAGUGUCAGAGCUCUACCCCGCCAAAAAAAAAAAGGAAAAAACCAAGAGGUGUGCAUUUGCUUUCCUAAAAUAAGAAAAGGCAAACCUUUUGUUAAUGUGCAACUUACUGAGGUUAAAAAUUAAUUUAAUUUUUGUUGUCUCAGCUGGGAGAUAAGAGCAUACAUUACAUGGAGAGAUGUUGAUUACACUAAAAGUAACCAGUUAAAUCUAGUUGGGAAAUACAUUUAAAAGUCUCCCCUUAAAACACACAGUACUAAACUAAAACUUGGCUAUGAUUUAAAGCUACUACUACAACAACAACAGUAAUAAUAAUAAUACCACCAGUAAUAACAAAUUAAUUUACUGUGGACACUUUGAAC